CCCCUGGUAGCUCAAUCGGAAUCGAGCAGCGCCCUUCUAAGGCGACGGCUGCGGGUUCGAGUCCCGCCCAGGGGC
rnacentral:tRNA from 1 species